rnacentral:rRNA from 1 species
UUAACACAUGCAAGUCGAGCGCCCCGCAAGGGGAGCGGCAGACGGGUGAGUAACGCGUGGGAAUCUACCCAUCUCUACGGAAUAACGCAUGGAAACGUGUGCUAAUACCGUAUACGUCCUUCGGGAGAAAGAUUUAUCGGAGAUGGAUGAGCCCGCGUUGGAUUAGCUAGUUGGUGGGGUAAAGGCCUACCAAGGCGACGAUCCAUAGCUGGUCUGAGAGGAUGAUCAGCCACACUGGGACUGAGACACGGCCCAGACUCCUACGGGAGGCAGCAGUGGGGAAUAUUGGACAAUGGGCGCAAGCCUGAUCCAGCCAUGCCGCGUGAGUGAUGAAGGCCCUAGGGUUGUAAAGCUCUUUCACCGGUGAAGAUAAUGACGGUAACCGGAGAAGAAGCCCCGGCUAACUUCGUGCCAGCAGCCGCGGUAAUACGAAGGGGGCUAGCGUUGUUCGGAUUUACUGGGCGUAAAGCGCACGUAGGCGGACUAUUAAGUCAGGGGUGAAAUCCCGGGGCUCAACCCCGGAACUGCCUUUGAUACUGGUAGUCUUGAGUUCGAGAGAGGUGAG